UACGUAGGGGGCGAGCGUUGUCCGGAAUCAUUGGGCGUAAAGCGCGUGUAGGCGGCCCGGCAAGUCCGCUGUGAAAGUCCAGGGCUCAACCCUCGAAUGCCGGUGGAUACUGUCGGGCUAGAGUGCGGAAGAGGCGAGUGGAAUUCCUGGUGUAGCGGUGAAAUGCGCAGAUAUCAGGAGGAACACCAAUUGCGAAGGCAGCUCGCUGGGCCGUAACUGACGCUGAGACGCGAAAGCGUGGGGAGCGAACAGG
rnacentral:rRNA from 1 species